UACGAAGGGGGCUAGCGUUGUUCGGAAUUACUGGGCGUAAAGCGCGCGCAGGCGGUCUUCCAAGUCAGUGGUGAAAGCCCGGAGCUCAACUCCGGAACUGCCAUUGAAACUGUAAGACUUGAGGAUGAGAGAGGUGAGUGGAACUGCGAGUGUAGAGGUGAAAUUCGUAGAUAUUCGCAAGAACACCAGUGGCGAAGGCGGCUCACUGGCCCGAUACUGACGCUGAGGCACGAAAGCGUGGGGAGCAAACAGG
rnacentral:rRNA from 1 species